rnacentral:rRNA from 2 species
ACGGCCGCAAGGUUAAAACUCAAAUGAAUUGACGGGGGCCCGCACAAGCGGUGGAGCAUGUGGUUUAAUUCGAUGCAACGCGAAGAACCUUACCUGGUCUUGACAUCCACGGAAGUUUUCAGAGAUGAGAAUGUGCCUUCGGGAACCGUGAGACAGGUGCUGCAUGGCUGUCGUCAGCUCGUGUUGUGAAAUGUUGGGUUAAGUCCCGCAACGAGCGCAACCCUUAUCCUUUGUUGCCAGCGGUCCGGCCGGGAACUCAAAGGAGACUGCCAGUGAUAAACUGGAGGAAGGUGGGGAUGACGUCAAGUCAUCAUGGCCCUUACGACCAGGGCUACACACGUGCUACAAUGGCGCAUACAAAGAGAAGCGACCUCGCGAGAGCAAGCGGACCUCAUAAAGUGCGUCGUAGUCCGGAUUGGAGUCUGCAACUCGACUCCAUGAAGUCGGAAUCGCUAGUAAUCGUGGAUCAGAAUGCCACGGUGAAUACGUUCCCGGGCCUUGUACACACCGCCCGUCACACCAUGGGAGUGGGUUGCAAAAGAAGUAGGUAGCUUAACCUUCGGGAGGGCGCUUACCACUUUGUGAUUCAUGACUGGGGUGAAGUCGUAACAAGGUAACCGUAGGGGAACCUGCGGUUGGAUCACCUCCUUA